rnacentral:rRNA from 1 species
CCGCCCCCGCCCGCCUACGGGAGGCAGCAGGGUUUCGCUGUAUGGGAUAUUCAAAUAAUCCGACAAAGCCAGCCCGAAAGUGGUGACCUGAUUGUAGCCGCGUUCCCGAAAUCGCUUUUUGUGUAACGGAACCGGAAUAAUGUAAUCGAUAGUUUGCAGUACAGGCACUUGUUGCAAUUCAGCCGCAAACCAUUCGCCAACCACGGUUCCGACUUCUUGAUUGCCUUUGUAUUUGAGUUGGUGCAUCAUUUCCUGUACGA